rnacentral:rRNA from 1 species
UACGUAGGGUGCAAGCGUUAAUCGGAAUUACUGGGCGUAAAGCGUGCGCAGGCGGUGAUGUAAGACAGAUGUGAAAUCCCCGGGCUCAACCUGGGAACUGCAUUUGUGACUGCAUCGCUGGAGUACGGCAGAGGGGGAUGGAAUUCCGCGUGUAGCAGUGAAAUGCGUAGAUAUGCGGAGGAACACCGAUGGCGAAGGCAAUCCCCUGGGCCUGUACUGACGCUCAUGCACGAAGGCGUGGGGAGCAAACAGG